CUCAUCAGUACCUCCCGCACAAUCGGGUACUCCAUCACAGAAUCUCUCAAAUGGUAAACACAUCUCUUCAUUACAUUGGGACAUGCCAGGGGGGCACAGCAACGUAAUCCCUGCAGCAGGAAAAUGCGGGACCUUGAAAGACAUUGCGGAAAAUUGCUAUCUGGCAACAAACACAGUGGUAGCUCAUCUUCACCAGGAUAACCUUCAUGUAUGUAUGGGGAAAACACGUAGGAUCGAACCAACAAAAAAGUGGCCAGCUAAUAAUUUAGGUCACCCUUCAACUGACCGCAGGCAAUGGCUGAUUCAUCUAUUCCAUCAGGACAGUCUACUACCCCAUCACAGCCGCGAGAGUUUUCGACACAGGUCAUAUUCGGGUCACCAGGACACUGAAUAAACCCAGUGGAGCAAUCUAUAUAUAAAUAAAUAAUAGUAGUUAGCUGGUAUAAAUAUAUGUAUAAAUUCACACCCAGCUAGGGUUUGUGCAGGCACAAGAUUUCCAGUACAUGACUUGGAUUAAUAUAAUUAUAGCAAAUUUCACCUUCCUCUCCUUUACAUUGCAUAUUUCAGUGUUACACUUAUUUGCACAUUUCAAGUUCACUUACUUCCACAAAAUUCUCCAGGAGCUGUAGACUCAUCACGACCAUUGGAGCAAUCUAUAACUCCGUCACAAAAGCUUUCAAUGGGGAUACAGCUGCUUGUUGAAACUGGCUCCCCAGAAUUGCAGUAAAUUGUACCACCAGGACAGA